rnacentral:rRNA from 1 species
AUUGAACGCUGGCGGAAUGCUUUACACAUGCAAGUCGAACGGCAGCACGGACUUCGGUCUGGUGGCGAGUGGCGAACGGGUGAGUAACAUAUCGGAACGUAUCCAAUAAUGGGGGAUAACGAGUCGAAAGAUUCGCUAAUACCGCAUACGCCCUACGGGGGAAAGCUGGGGACCUUCGGGCCUGGCGUUAAUGGAGCGGCCGAUAUCUGAUUAGCUAGUUGGUGAGGUAAAGGCUCACCAAGGCGACGAUCAGUAGCUGGUCUGGGAGGACGACCAGCCACACUGGAACUGAGGCACGGUCCAGACUCCUACGGGAGGCAGCAGUGGGGAAUUUUGGACAAUGGGCGCAAGCCUGAUCCAGCCAUUCCGCGUGAGUGAAGAAGGCCUUCGGGUUGUAAAGCUCUUUCGCAAGGGAAGAAAACUUAGCCACUAACAUUGGUUGAGGUUGACGGUACCUUGAUAAGAAGCACCGGCUAACUACGUGCCAGCCGCCGCCGUAA